GCCAUUUCCAGACUUCCUCCUACACCAGCAAGGCUGUUUGAAGUGAAUCUCUCUCAAGGAUGUUUAACAGUUUAUCAGAUGGAUAUACCACAUUUAUACAGUUUUCCCACUGAUGGGCGCUUGGGUUGCUUCUAGGGUUUGUUUGUUUGUUUGCUUUCUGUUUUUGGUGGUGGGAAAUGCUGGUAUGAAUAUGGCUUGAAAAUGUCUGUCUUGGGAGAGCCUCACGUUUCCACUAUAGAGCCCCUACUUCCCCCAGUCCUGGAACCCUUGGAUAGGGCCCACUUUCCCGUAUGCAUCUCCCAAUACAAACCAAAUAAUAUUGCAUCCGCUGAUCACAACCUAACCAACGCAACGAUUGCCACCUCAAUAUGCU